UUUGUGUCACCAGAUCUAAUUGGUGGCACUGGUCAGCGUAUCCACUGUUAGCGUAACACACCCGCUUUAAGGACACUAACUGCUAUUCAAUCUAUAACAGUGAAAAAAGAGUUUUGUUUUUUUAAAUCCAAGCUAUUGUGACACCAGAUCUAAUUGGUGGCACUGGUCACCGUAUCCACUGUUAGCGUAACACACCGGCUUUAAGGACACUGACUGCUAUUCAAUCU